GAAUUGUUAGCAAGAGAAUGAGUGGAGGCGAGAAGAAAUCACUUGUAAAGGCUAUGUGAUUCCCUGAUGACAGAUCUGAGGAAGAAUGAAGAGGCUUUGAAGAUAAAGGUAUCUUCACCUCGCCAAGAUCAACCACAUCCUGCAGAACCUUCAUUCAUUCAGCAAACAGCCAGGCUUUAUGCUAGGCCCUGGGGAAAUGGCAAUUAAGGAGACUCAGUCCCUAUCCUUACAGAACACCCCAUCUGACACGGAAAUAGCUCCUGGCCCGCAAUGUGGUAAGAUGCAGUAAUACGUGCAAGGCUCCUGACUUAGUGGCAAUGAUGUUUAAGCCGAGAUCUGAAGGAUAACUAACAACGGCGUGCCAGAGAAAAGAGUAGCGGGUGGAGAGAGGAGGCCAGGGGAAUAUUUCUGGGCUUGGUAAGUAAGCCAGGUCCCUGCCAGACAUGGACUGAGAAGAGCAAAGCCAGGAGUGACAGCUGAUGAUUAUUUUUUAACUGAGGAAGGAAGAUCCUUGAGAACGGAACCUCUUGGGACCUUCUACCCAGAACACCAGAGCACCUCACUGGGAUCAGAGCCAGGCCAUCGGGUGGAUUAAGCAACUAAAAUUGAUCGUCCUGAACCAUGAGUCUGUCUGUUUAUGGGGAGAGAAACUUUGAGAUGAAUUAAUCCACAGGUCCAAUGGGACUUUGACAUUUUAAUUUGUAGAAAUAAAACUUGCCUUUGAUUUUGCCA
rnacentral:antisense_RNA from 1 species